rnacentral:rRNA from 1 species
AGGUAAGCUACUAAGAGCGAAUGGUGGAUGCCUUGACUGGUAAAGGCGAUGAAGGACGUACUAGACUGCGAUAAGCUACGGGGAGCUGUCAAGAAGCUUUGAUCCGUAGAUUUCCGAAUGGGGCAACCCAAUGUAUAGAGAUAUACAUUACCUAUAUAGGAGCGAACGAGGGGAAUUGAAACAUCUUAGUACCCUCAGGAAAAGAAAUCAAUAGAGAUUGCGUCAGUAGCGGCGAGCGAAAGCGCAAGAGGGCAAACCCAGUGCUUGCACUGGGGGUUGUAGGACUGCAAUAUGCAAGAGGUAAGUUUAGCAGAACAUUCUGGAAAGUAUAACCAUAGAGGGUGAUAGUCCCGUAUGCGAAAAACAAACCUUAGCUAGCAGUAUCCUGAGUAGGGCGGGACACGAGGAAUCCUGUCUGAAUCCGGGUCGACCACGAUCCAACCCUAAAUACUAAUACCAGAUCGAUAGUGCACAAGUACCGUGAGGGAAAGGUGAAAAGAACUGAGGUGAUCAGAGUGAAAUAGAACCUGAAACCAUUUGCUUACAAUCAUUCAGAGCCCUAUGUAGCAAUACAGGGUGAUGGACUGCCUUUUGCAUAAUGAGCCUGCGAGUUGUGGUGUCUGGCAAGGUUAAGCAAACGCGAAGCCGUAGCGAAAGCGAGUCUGAAUAGGGCGCUUAGUCAGAUGCUGCAGACCCGAAACGAAGUGAUCUAUCCAUGAGCAAGUUGAAGCUAGUGUAAGAACUAGUGGAGGACUGAACCCAUAGGCGUUGAAAAGCCCCGGGAUGACUUGUGGAUAGGGGUGAAAGGCCAAUCAAACUUCGUGAUAGCUGGUUCUCUCCGAAAUAUAUUUAGGUAUAGCGUUGUGUCGUAAUAUAAGGGGGUAGAGCACUGAAUGGGCUAGGGCAUACACCAAUGUACCAAACCCUAUCAAACUCCGAAUACCUUAUAUGUAAUCACAGCAGUCAGGCGGCGAGUGAUAAAAUCCGUCGUCAAGAGGGAAACAACCCAGACUACCAGCUAAGGUCCCUAAGUCUUACUUAAGUGGAAAACGAUGUGAAGUUACUUAAACAACCAGGAGGUUGGCUUAGAAGCAGCCAUCCUUUAAAGAAAGCGUAAUAGCUCACUGGUCUAGUGAUUUUGCGCGGAAAAUAUAACGGGGCUAAAGUAAGUACCGAAGCUGUAGACUUAGUUUAC